rnacentral:rRNA from 1 species
UCCUUCCGUAGGUGAACCUGCGGAAGGAUCAUUACAGAGGUCAUGCCCGAAAGGGUAGACCUCCCACCCUUGUGUAUUAUUACUUUGUUGCUUUGGCGAGCUGCCUUCGGGCCUUGUAUGCUCGCCAGAGAAUACCAAAACUCUUUUUAUUAAUGUCGUCUGAGUACUAUAUAAUAGUUAAAACUUUCAACAACGGAUCUCUUGGUUCUGGCAUCGAUGAAGAACGCAGCGAAAUGCGAUAAGUAAUGUGAAUUGCAGAAUUCAGUGAAUCAUCGAAUCUUUGAACGCACAUUGCGCCCCUUGGUAUUCCGGGGGGCAUGCCUGUUCGAGCGUCAUUUCAACCCUCAAGCUUAGCUUGGUAUUGAGUCUAUGUCAGUAAUGGCAGGCUCUAAAAUCAGUGGCGGCGCCGCUGGGUCCUGAACGUAGUAAUAUCUCUCGUUACAGGUUCUCGGUGUGCUUCUGCCAAAACCCAAAUUUUUCUAUGGUUGACCUCGGAUCAGGUAGGGAUACCCAGUUCCAUGAACUUAAGCAUAUCAAUAAGC